GACGAACGCUGGCGGCGUGCCUAAUACAUGCAAGUAGAACGCUGAAGGAGGAGCUUGCUUCUCUGGAUGAGUUGCGAACGGGUGAGUAACGCGUAGGUAACCUGCCUGGUAGCGGGGGAUAACUAUUGGAAACGAUAGCUAGUACCGCAUAAUAUUGACUAUUGCAUGAUAGUCAGUUGAAAGGUGCAACUGCACCACUACCAGAUGGACCUGCGUUGUAUUAGCUAGUUGGUGGGGUAACGGCUCACCAAGGCGACGAUACAUAGCCGACCUGAGAGGGUGAUCGGCCACACUGGGACUGAGACACGGCCCAGACUCCUACGGGAGGCAGCAGUAGGGAAUCUUCGGCAAUGGACGGAAGUCUGACCGAGCAACGCCGCGUGAGUGAAGAAGGUUUUCGGAUCGUAAAGCUCUGUUGUAAGAGAAGAACGAGUGUGAGAGUGGAAAGCUCACACUGUGACGGUAUCUUACCAGAAAGGGACGGCUAACUACGUG
rnacentral:rRNA from 1 species